AAAAACGGAGCUCGUACGCAAAAGUUACGGACGAAGCUUGGAGACUACUUUACUAUACACUUCCUAUAAAUACAAGGGUGAACUCCUCAUAUUUUCUUCACACCAUAAGCCUUUCUUUCUCUCUCUAACUUCUCUCUAGCCUCCCUAAACCCCUCCCAAGUCUACGGAACCUCCCUAGCACGAGAAGAAAGCCCCGGAGCGCCCGACGGCUCCGAGAAGAAAAGCUUUCGGCUUGGAAACGCUGCUCCAGCGAAGCCCGGUUUUUAAUAAAAACUCGCUGUUUUGUCGAGGAAAAUUGUUUUGAGAUAACGAAGUGCUGUCUGAGUUCGGAAUCACCACCUAAUCAGGUGUUGAUAUGAAGUGACAUUACACUGAGAGAUUUAAAGAGAUGUAGAUCACUAGUGUAAAUAAUUGUAAGUUCUGUUUAUGCUUAUGUUUCUAUAUUAACGAUGACAUCCCAAACGUUUUAAAAUGAAAUAAAUACGUUUCUUCGAAAAUGUUUUAAUAACGUAUUUACCAUGUUUUUCUGGGAACAAAUUCCGCAACAUUUUUAUAAAAUGAAGUACUCUGAUUUUUAUAAAGCAUAAACAACAUCGGUCUUUUUUGGCCGUGAAAAUGGGGAUGUCACACUUAUGCUAAGACUCGCCGAGUUGUAUGAACAACUCGUCGAGUCCAUCUUCAUCCGAAGAACACUUAUGCUGCGACUCGCCGAGUUGUAUGAACAACUCACCGAGUCUGUUCUUGAUCUAAGGAGAUUGCCUUGAACCCGCCGAGUCAGGGCAUUGACUCGCCGAAUUCCUCCAAAGAUGAGUUCAGCUUCCGAUUCAUUGAGUCACACCCCGUGACUCACUGCUCACUCGACACUACGAAAAGGGUACAAACUCGGAGACUCGCGAACAGACUCGCCGAGUCACAUGAACGACUCGCCGAGUCGUUGCCAUGCACCCACUAAAUACACAGUUUUGCUCGAUUCCAGUCCAUUCCAUUUACAGAUCUGGACUUCUAGGACACGAAUCACACGUAAAGUUUCCAACUUUACGUGUGGAUAUUCACCAAUAUGGAUUUUAGGGCUCAAAAUGCCUCAAAAGGGUAGAUCUAAGGUGAACAAGCAACAUGGGGCCAUAAAGCUAACAGAUCUGAGCUCCUGGAGCUCAAUCUUGCCUAGAUCUAGAGGCCAAUCGACUUAUUACAAACCCUCAAGCAUACACAAUCUUGGAAAUGGCUCAAAAAGGAAUUUUAUGGAGCUAUAAGCUUAAAAACAGAGGGGAAACGUUGGAAUGACACAAAGAUGCUUGGCCUCCUUCUCCUCUUCUUGAUUCCCUCUUCUUUUCCUUCAAAGAAACUUCAAUAACACCACAAAACACUUCAAACUCACAAGAAAGCAAGGCUAGAGAGAGAUACAGGGCUCUGAGGGUGAAUGGGGGCUGGCUUGGGGCAGUUAAGUCGUUUAAAUAGGGUGCAAACCCCUGAAACUUAGGGUUUCAUCCAACAGUUGUGACUCGCCGAGUCCAGGAUAUGGACUCGCUGAGUCGCCAACUUAAACUUGUCCCGGGUCCCGCAUCCACUCGGCGAGUCGGACCUAUGACUCGCUGAGUCCAAGGCUAAAAGAAGGGAAAUACUCAAAUAAGAUUUACGUACCAGGAACCAGGUGCUACAUUAAACUUCCGAGCUACAAACAUAAAACAGUAACGCCACCUGAUAGCUUCAUUUUAUUUACUUCUUUUUAUAUUUUUUUUAGCACAUUUCAUUCGCAUUUUAGUUAAUUUCCAUGCAUAUUUUCUUUUUUUGCUAUUUUUAUGACCAUUUCGGAUACUUUCUAGUUUCUUGAGCAUUAUUGCAGAUUUUUUGAAGACUAGCGGAGCGGGAUUUUUGGGAGGCGAUUGGACUUGAAGGGCAAUGGGGAUUUCGUGCUUGAUGGCUAUGGAGGUGAUUCAUUGAGUGGACUUUUCAAUUGCUUGAAGGCUUGGAAGUGUUGAACUUUAAAUUUGAAAGGCACGGGAGAAUUCUUGAAGAGAAAUGGGCUGGAAGUUGAUUAGACUCGAACUGGGCCAAUGGAAUGGCUGUGGGGGCCCAAAUCAUGAAGGAGCCCAAAAACUCCGUCAUAGUCACGCGGCCCGCGUAAGAUUCCCCGCGGCCCGCGUGGAUUCCUGACAAGGGCAAAAUCGGGAUUUUGUCUAGAGCUCUAUAUUAGGAAGGUUGGUGUGCCUCUUCAACCUUAUCUUGGAUGUCCGAUUUUGACAUUUUCUCUCUGGAGUUUUCAGCACUUUUGAAGACCAAGAACACCUCAAGAACAUCCUCUUUUCACCUCUUGAUUAUUGUAAAAUGUUUGGUACAAUCUUCUCUAACUUUGCUUCUUUGAGUUUAGUCAUGCUUGGCUAAACUAAUCUUGGUUGACUUUUUGUUGAAUCCUUUGAACUUUUGUUGAAUGUUGAAGAAUCCAUGAACUUGUUCUUAAAUAUUUAUGGAAAUGUUUUGUGUUUUAACAUAU